rnacentral:rRNA from 2 species
GGUCAGGCGGGACUACCCGCUGAGUUUA